rnacentral:rRNA from 1 species
ACCGGCGCACGGGUGAGUAACACGUAUCCAACCUGCCGAUGACUCGGGGAUAGCCUUUCGAAAGAAAGAUUAAUACCCGAUGGCAUAGUUCUUCCGCAUGGUAGAACUAUUAAAGAAUUUCGGUCAUCGAUGGGGAUGCGUUCCAUUAGCUUGUUGGCGGGGUAACGGCCCACCAAGGCAUCGAUGGAUAGGGGUUCUGAGAGGAAGGUCCCCCACAUUGGAACUGAGACACGGUCCAAACUCCUACGGGAGGCAGCAG